AAUGUAAUUGCUGGAUUGUAUGGUAAGAAUAUGUUCAGUUUUAUAGGAAAUUGCCGAACUGUCUUCUAAGGUGUCUGUACCAUUCUGUAUUUCCACCAGCAAU
rnacentral:pre_miRNA from 1 species